UACAGAGGGGGCAAGCGUUGUUCGGAAUUACUGGGCGUAAAGGGCGCGUAGGCGGCCUGUUAAGUCGGACGUGAAAUCCCCGGGCUCAACCCGGGAACUGCGUCCGAUACUGGCAGGCUUGAAUCCGGGAGAGGGAUGCGGAAUUCCAGGUGUAGCGGUGAAAUGCGUAGAUAUCUGGAGGAACACCGGUGGCGAAGGCGGCAUCCUGGACCAAUUCUGACACUGAGGAGCGAAAGCCAGGGGAGCAAGCGGG
rnacentral:rRNA from 1 species